GAUGAACGCUGGCGGCGUGCCUAAUACAUGCAAGUCGAACGAAACUUCUUUAUAACCGCGUGCUUGCACUCACCGAUAAAGAGUUGAGUGGCGAACGGGUGAGUAACACGUGGGCAACCUGCCCAAAAGAGGGGGAUAACACUUGGAAACAGGUGCUAAUACCGCAUAACCAUAGUUACCGCAUGGUAACUAUGUAAAAGGUGGCUAUACUACCGCUUUUGGAUGGGCCCGCGGCGCAUUAGCUAGUUGGUAGGGUAAAGGCUUACCAAGGCAAUGAUGCGUAGCCGAAUUGAGAGGUUGAUCGGCCACAUUGGGACUGAGACACGGCCCAAACUCCUACGGGAGGCAGCAGUAGGGAAUCUUCCACAAUGGGCGAAAGCCUGAUGGAGCAACGCCGCGUGGGUGAAGAAGGUCUUCGGAUCGUAAAACCCUGUUGUUAGAGAAGAAAGUGCGUGAGAGUAACUGUUCACGUUUCGACGGUAUCUAACCAGAAAGCCACGGCUAACUACGUG
rnacentral:rRNA from 1 species